UGCGGCUGUGGCGGAAUUGGCAGACGCGCAGGACUUAGGAUCCUGUACCGCAAGGUGUGGGGGUUCAAGUCCCUCCAGCCGCAA
rnacentral:tRNA from 1 species